rnacentral:lncRNA from 1 species
CACAGCAGUGACAACAAUGGAUCUUUCACCCACUGAGCCACCAAAGAACUCCCCCAUAACUUCUUAGAGUCAGUUUCAACUUCUUAGAUACUUACAUUCUAUUCUGAAAUGCUUUGAACUUUACUUGUCAGAAGCAGUCACUUAAUUGUGACAUUUGUGAGAGCCAAUAAAAUCCAGUAAUCUAUUUCUAUAUCAGAUAUCUACAACUGCCCGUGAGAGUACUGAUAAGUAAUUAUUGUACUGAAAACCAAAUCUGAGGUUCCCUACAUUAGCUCAGCUGCAAUAAAUACCUUGUCCAAACUCUUAUGUGGUUCUGGUCUUGGAGAGUGAAACUGGUCUAGAGAUAAAACAAGGCUAAUGAACUUUGUGAACCGGAUUGCUGUGUACAGGGUCCCCUCAGGACAAAGUAUUUCAUCUGUCCACACAUCUAUCCAUCUAUCUAACUCAUACUUACUGAGUGAUAACCAUGCAUCAGGCCUCAUGGUAAGUACUAAGGAUAUGUGGAUUGAAAAUAUGUUCUUGUUCUCAAAAAAUUUACUAUCUAUUAAGAGGAUAUCAACCUGUAUACAAACAGAAGCAUUAACCAUUAGAGGUUCUGUGAUGCAAAUAUAUAUCGUUUACAGCAAAGAGGAAAGGAGGGAGCAAUUAGUUUCAGGAAGGGUUCAUUAGGGGAAAGCUAGCUUAGGUUAGACAAUAGUUGGAAAAGGAAAGGAUUCGAAACAUUUGGGCAUGAGUGAGACAGAGGUAAAGCAAGGCAAAUCAAACGACGACCCUGCAGAGCCAGGUCUCACAUGGUUCACUGAGGCGUUUGGAAGGUACCUAGAAAGUGGGGAAGGGUAGGUAAGGUAACAAAGUGACUGGCUGGGCGUUUUAGAAAGACUGCUCUGGGAGAAAGACUAGAGUCAAGAAGUUCAUUUACAAGUCAUUGACUAUGAACCUCUCCAUUCAGGGUUCAUCUUUUCAAAGUUAUGCAGUCUAUAUCCCUCAGCACAUAAUUAUCUAAUACCCUCAUGUUAGUUCCUGUCGAGACUUUAUCACAGAAGAACUUUACCUAAGCCCACCUUUUUUUUUUUUUUUCCCAGCCGCCCCACAGCAUAUGGCACUCCCAGGCCAGGGAUCAGAUCUAAGCCACAGCCUCAAACCAAGCCUCAACUGUGGCAAUACCCGAUCCUUAACCCACAGUACUGAGCUGGGGAUUGAACCCACAUCCCAGCGCUCUCAAAAGGCUGCUGAUCCUGUUGCACCACAUCAGGAAGCUCCAAGCCCACCUUUUCAAAAGGAAAAAAGGGAUGCCUUGAGAUUUCCCCACUUACUUUUAUGCUUCAAUGAAAGAAAUUUGACUGGACAAUAUUUAUUUCACACAUUCAGUAUAUUUCUAUAAUACCCAAAGCACCAUAUAGGAUAUUCAGAAAUAAGACAUCUACUUUCUAGACGAAAGAAAAUUGUUUGGUGCAGAGGUGAUAGUUCUCAUCCUUGACGCCCAGCCUAAAUGUCAUCUCCCCCAGGGAGUGUACCCCAAUCUCUUGGCAAAAGUACUUCUAUCACCCUCUUAACUAUGACACCAUUUUCUUUCAACUAUUUAAUGCACGUGUUACAUUUCACUUUUCAUUCUGUAUCUGUCCUACUGGGUUAUGAGUUCCAUCUUAAGGGAGCAUUAACAGCAUAGGCUUUUGAGGAAGACAAACCAGAGUAGAAACCUCAAUUCUGCCCUGAAUAACUGUGUGGGCUUGGCUAAGUCAGUUCUUCACUUACAGAACAGACGCCAUCACUAACUACCUUUCAGGGUUGUUUGGAAGAUGAAUUAAGGUGCCUAGGAUAGUGCUUGGUACAUGGUUUGGGCUCAGAAACUGCUGCUUCCUCAUCCUCCUCCCCUGACAAGGGGCUGAAAUCAUCUCUUUUUUGCUUAGAGUGCCCAGGAAAAGGCAACACGUCAAGGAUAUGUAAUGUAAACUUGAUGGCUGAAUAGACACAUAAUGAAAACAAUACAUUAACUCAAUAAAUCUUCAGUUGCGGGGUUUAACUGCAGUAUGAGACUCAAGGGAGAAAGACUUUUGGACGUGGUUACGUCUCUGGACCCCCUCAUGUCAAAUCAUGAAGAUGACAAUCUCAUGACUUUACAGAAAGACAGGUCUUAUAGUUGGGGCUCUAGCUUUGGAAGAGUCAAUCAUGUGAUAUAAUUUUGUGGAUUUCUUAGGACAGGUGAUGAAACAUGUUGCUAAUUAGACGGAGAGACACUGUGAAAUAUCAUGUACAACUGCCCACUGAAGGUGAUUUAUGAGUUUCAGUCAUUACCCAUCCUUCCGCCACCAACCACACCACUAAGGUUGUAAAUAGCAGCUUCUAAACCUCUGGCUGAGGCUUGGUUCUUUAGAGUCAGUUUCCCAUGGGGCUGGGGGGGGGGGUCAAACAUGAUACUUUUAUGUGUAAAAGAAGCUAAUCUUU